CAGAAACUGGCAGAAAUUCGAAUGAGAGAGAAGCAAGCGUUGGCCCAUCUGGAGAAAGAAGCUGCUGAAAGACAGAGAGAAGCUGCUGCACUAAAGAAG